AUUGAACGCUGGCGGAAUGCUUUACACAUGCAAGUCGAACGGCAGCACGGGGGCAGCCCUGGUGGCGAGUGGCGAACGGGUGAGUAAUACAUCGGAACGUGCCCGGCUGUGGGGGAUAACGUAGCGAAGGAUACGCUAAUACCGCAUACGAUCAGAGGAUGAAAGCGGGGGACCUUCGGGCCUUGCGCGCUCGGACCGGCCGAUGUCGGAUUAGGUAGUUGGUGGGGUAAAGGCCUACCAAGCCGACGAUCUGUAGCUGGCCUGAGAGGACGACCAGCCACACUGGAACUGAGACACGGUCCAGACUCCUACGGGAGGCAGCAGUGGGGAAUUUUGGACAAUGGGCGCAAGCCUGAUCCAGCCAUUCCGCGUGCAGGACGAAGGCCUUCGGGUUGUAAACUGCUUUUGUUCGGAACGAAAAGGCUCUGGCUAAUACCUGGCGCUCAUGACGGUACCGUAAGAAUAAGCACCGGCUAACUACGUG
rnacentral:rRNA from 1 species